GGGAUUUUAGCUCAGCAGGGAGAGCGCUUGCUUCACACGCAAGAGGUCAUCGGUUCAAGUCCGUUAAAUCCCACCA
rnacentral:tRNA from 1 species